rnacentral:snoRNA from 14 species
AAGGAUGAUGAAUACAAUUGGUACAUAAAUUUAGUUGUGAAACUCACAUGUUGAAAAAAGUAGAAUACCGAUGAAUAUCAAAGCUGACUU